AGAAAGCACUCUGUGGAUGCAUGCCAGCUGAAAUUGUUAUAGGUCACCCGCUGCACUUCUGGGUCGAUGGCAUUGUGGCAUCCUUGACACACCUAUUAAGAAAUAAUACAAGAGAAGAGGGUGAGAGAUCAAGCUGUAAUGGUAACAUUUUCAUCUUAGGACAUAUUUCUUUAGAUGAUAAAUUAAAACUCAUAAUGACAACCUCAGAAAUACACAAUGGAGGGUGGCCUUCUAGCUAACCUUUUUGGCCAACUGUUAAUGGAGGUCAAUAUUCUGAGCAGCCUGAGAAAUAACGAGUGAAGGCCAAACAGGUGAUUUGAUGCAUGUAAGAUAACUUCAUGGCAUUCAAGGCAGAAAGUCUUGAUGGGAAGUUCCAAAGCAGUGUGCUUAGUUCUGAUGUAUUUUAUUAGAUUGCACAUUUGUAAUUACACAGAAGUUUAUGAUUUUUCCUUGUUCAUUAAAGCUUUGAAGUGGUAAUUUUACCUGUCUUACCUAUGACACAUGAGAUUAUUAACACCACUAAUUUCUAGACAGUAGUAAAUUAAAAUCAUGUUCAAAGUAAUUAAGGACUCAAUUAAAAAUACUGACAGUGUUUGAGAAAAAUGAAUUUGCACUAAAAAUAUAACUUGUAGUUAAUUGGCUUCUAUUCUGUCAUAAGAUCAGUCAUAAUUUAUGUGUAAUCUAAUAUUGUAGAACAUUAAUACUUACAAUCCCUGUACCAUUCAGUAUGUGUUAUGUAUAUAUACAUGACAUACAAACAUGUAUAUACAUACACAAACAUACAUACAUUUACACCACAAAAUUUUCUUCUUAUUCAAACAUGCACAUGAGGAAAAUGAAUAAAUAACCUAUGUUAUAGCAGAAAACAGAAAACCAGUUCGGACCUCUGAAACACUGGAUAGUCCAUGCCUUAUAGUUUAUACAUGUUCUGAAUGAAUAUGGCUGUCUUAAAGUUUUUGUUUUAAAUAUUUCAUAACAAGUGAAGAAGCCAGCAAGACUGUCUGGUAUCACAGUGACUAAUCUUAAGCACCCUUGGUCUCGUAAUGUGAUUGUCAGGAAUUACUGAGGGAUAAGGGGUGGGAACAGGUGAGUGGAGGUCAUUCAGCUUGAGCCUCCUUACUUGAAAAGACUUCAAAAUGUGGCUGCUACUCACUGGGUAAUUGGUUUAGGCAGUGAAGUGAGGCCUGGUUAUAUAUGUCCAUUUCAGACCUGCAUAUUUUUGUUACAUUGCUUCUGAUUACAGAGAUUAUAGCUCUGUAAUCUAUAAGUUAGGUCAACCCAGUCUUCCCUGAGAUACAAUGAAAAUUCUUUGAUCAACACACUAUUCCUGAAUACUAUAAAAAUGAACGUUUCAAUUACAAGCACAUUUCUAAUGUGCAGCUGCACCAUGCAAGCAACUGCUUUUUGUAUAUAUUUUUAUAGCUUUAUUAUGCAUUUAGAAUGUCUUAUUUUCUGCAUUUCAUAUUAAUCUUUCCAUUUUAAAAUUUAUGAUCAACACAUAAUUGUACAUAUUUAUGGGUGUACUAUGUGAUGUUUCAAUACAUGUAUACAUAGUGUAGUGAUCAAAUCAGGGUAAUUAGGAUAUCCCUCUCCUUAAACAUUUAUGAUUUCCUUGUGAUAAGAACAGUCUUUCAAUAUUUCUUGUUUAUGUAUUUUGAAUGUGUUCUUGUAAAAUACACCGUGUGUUUUAUUCCCUUGCUUUCAGACCAUGAUCUAUCUUCUUUUUCUCAGACCUGUGAUUUUUUAAAAUUACCCAAAACACACAUUUUCAGUUGCAAUUUACAAAAAAGAGAUAACUAAUGUUCAAUUACACAUGAAAUUAAGAAAAUUAAGCAAAAAGAUAAUUAGUACACAUAAAUGGUAUAGAGAAUUAAAGUCUGGGGUUUCAUAAAAUUUCAUUUUACUAAUAAUUUGAUUACCAUUCAUUCAAAAUCUGACAUGUAAUCACAGGUCGAAUCUACUGUUCCCUAAUUCCUCAAAAAUCUAAAAUUGGCCCAGGCUGCGCCAAGGGCCUGGGGACUGCAGAACCCUUCAGGGAGAUGAUGUGCUUCACCACUUCCUGCCUGCCAUUUGAUCUUCCCAUGUUCCUAAACCUUUAAUAUUUCAAAGAAUUCUUAUUUCCUUCAAUCCCUCUUCUUAUUUGUACACAGGAUGUAAAAGAGCUAAUGACACCUGUUGUAAUGAGCUCUCUGCAGGAGUGUCCUAUGAAUCUGACGGAUGUGAAUUCUGGGGGUAACUAUGGAGUUCUAGUGACUACACAGAGACAAAGCACUUCUUGCUGCCACCAUGUGAAGAAGGAUGUGUUUGCUUCCUCUUUUGCCACAAUUGUAAGUUUCCUGAGGACUUCCCAGCCAUGCUGAACUCAGAAGAGGAAGUUGGAGGCAUGUGAGGUGCAGGAAGGAUUCUAAGCAGUGGUGCUGGCUUUGAAGAUGGAAGGCAUUGUACCUCAAUGAAUGUGACUGGUUUCUAGAAGCUGAGAGUAGCCAGCCCCCAGCUGACAGCCAACAAGGAAACAGGGACCUUGGUUCUCCAACCACAGAAAAUAGAUUCUACCAACAAGAAUGAGCUUGAAAGCAGAUUCUUCCCUCGCACUUAAAGUCUCCUGCAACUAUGGUGAUACACCUUGAUCCGGCAUCUUCCAUUCACCUCUCCAGAUUCAUUCUCCAUGCCUCAGUACUCUGUGCUAUUUCCCAGAAGGCUGAUCCUUAAGGACUACACCUGUGGGAUCCCUUGUCACUGGCAAUGGGACAAUGGGAGGUGCCAGCAGAAAAUCAGAGUGAUGAAGAAUGAGGUCUGGGUAUUUAUCUCCUGGCUUUCUGUAAGUAUACAAGGUGAUAAAAAGGAAAAUGAUUCCUAACAACUUGGGGGUAUGUGGAAGCAGGGGAAGGGGGUGCUGUGGGCUGAACUGUGUUUCCUCAAAGUCAUAUGCUGAAGCUCAAACUCCUAAUGUGACUGUAUUUGGAGCAGGGGCUUUUAAGAAGUAAAGUUAAAAGAUGUCACAAGGUGAACGUCACAAUCCAUUGGAAUAGGUGACCUUAUAAGAAAAGGGAGAGAGAUCUCUUCCUCUCCAGACACACACACACACACCCACACACACCAAGGAAAGGCCAUGUGAGCACGUGGUGAGAAGGCAGCCGUCUGUAAGCCAGGAAGAGAGACCUCACCAGAACUCAACCAUGUUGGCACCUGAUCUCGAACUUUCCAGCCUCUAGAACUGGAAGAAAGUACAUUUCUGUUUAAACUACCAGGUAUGUGAUAUUUUGUUAUGGCAGCCUGAAAAGACAUACAUGGGCAGGGAAGACUUCUCAGAGGUAUUUCUUGAGCUGAGACUUUUUGUUUCCUAGUGGUGGGAGGUAGGGUUUUCCAGGCAGAGAACACCAUGCAAUAAGGCACAAAAUUUCAGGGAAUAGUAUGUAUCAAGCACUUGGAUCAUAGAGUGCUUGGAAGGGAAGUGGAAGAGGCUGGAAAAGCAAGCAGAGGCCAGAUGUUAGGGUUUAAUGUCAAAGGCCAAGAAAUUUGCCUAAAAGAAGUCCAGUGGGAAACUACUGAGGGUUCUUAAGUCAUCUGAAGUAUGUAAUAGUAUCCAUGUUCAAAAGACCAUUCUUGUGAUUGUGUGAGAGGCCAGACUAAUAAAGAGGUAGAGAAUAAUUUAACUCUGAUUUUUGAAAUGUGCCCGAUGGAGCCCUCAGGGUCCUAAGUCAAGGAUCACCAUGAAGCUGGAGGAGGAGGCUAAGUGGGCAGGGUCAUGGGAUCCCAUGUCUACUUCACCCACAUAAGUUCUGUGGCCCUAGACUAGACCUGGAAUCUUUGUUACACUCAGGACAACUAGUCUAGAAUAUUUUACUUCAAAGACUGUACUGAAAGAGGCUACAUAGGGAGGUCAAAGGCACCUGCUUCAGCUCUUUUAGCUAUGGUGAAAAAGUCAGGGAAUUAUCAAGAAUUCUGAGAGAAAUGUGACUGGACCCAUGCCAGGAAGAUGUCAGAACUACUAAGAAAUACCAAUGGGGUGGACUGUUAUCAACCCCAGCUGAAUGACAGGCCAUAUGCAAAGUCCUAGACUAUUAUGGCUCUUAGAUUUUCAGACUACACCCAGUUGAUUAAAUGAGUCUGUGUGAUAAAUUGAAAUGUAAAAGGUUAUUUUCAUGCCAUGGAGAUCUGCUCUUGUCGGAUAUAUUUUCAUCUGAAAAUAUCGAUUAAAAUGAUUAAUAUAGACAUAACAAAAAUGACUAACUUGCUUUAGAGAAAAGAUGAUAUCUCUUAGGAAUGAGCUUUAAAAUCUCACGAGCGGUUUUUGGCAACUGCAUAGCAGAACUAAAAAGAAUGCAGGUUAAGUAUCUCUUACCCAAAAUGUUUCACAAGUAAAAUAAAACAGAAGUGUAUCAGAUUUCAAAUUUUUUUUAAAUUUUGGAAUAUCUGCAUAAACAAUGAGAUAUCUUGGGGAUAGGGCCCAAGUUUAAACAUAAAAUUAAUUUCUGUUUCAUAUACAGCUUAUGUACAUAAGCUGAUGGUAAUUUUAUACAUAUUUUAAAUAAUUUUGUACAAGACACAAAGGUUUGAAUGCAUUUUUGAAUGCAACCUGUCACACGGUCAGGUAUGUGAAAUUUUCCACUUGUGGCAUCGUGUUGACACUCAAGAAGUUUUGGUUUUGGAGCAUUUUGGAUUUUGGAUUUUAUGUAUUAUAAGAUUGUAAGGUAAAAACUAUGCCCAGGAGAGGGCAGUGCAGCCUUCUGUAAAGUUAACUAAUAGGCCCAAUAGAAAAUAGUGUGAGCAUUAAGAGCAGAGAUGUUCUAAUUCAUGAAAACUAUUUUGUGUUAAGUCACUUUACCUUUUUAAAACAUGAGAGACAUACUGCCACUUCUAUGUCCCUUGAAGAGACAGCACAAGGGAGAGCUGCUUAAGUCUUGUAAAAAAAAAUUCUGGAAAACUUUAGCUCCCUAAAACUGAAGAAUUGUAUCAAAACUGAAGAACUGUAUCAGUUCUAGCAGGUUUCUACUGACUUUCCUAUUUUAAACAAUUAUCUUUGUUUCUGAAAACUGAUUCAAUAAACUAGUUUUUAAAAGAGAUUAAUGUCUAAAAUUUUAUUUGUUUAUAUUCUCCUUUAAUUUACACUGUACACAUCUCCAAGAGCUGAUGAAAGUAUUCUAAACGGUUUCCUGUGGAAAUCUGUAGUACAGA
rnacentral:lncRNA from 10 species